UACGAAGGGGGCUAGCGUUGCUCGGAAUCACUGGGCGUAAAGCGCACGUAGGCGGCUUUCUAAGUCAGGGGGGAAAUCCUGGAGCUCAACUCCAGAACUGCCUUUGAUACUGGAAAGCUUGAGUUCGGGAGAGGUGAGUGGAACUGCGAGUGUAGAGGUGAAAUUCGUAGAUAUUCGCAAGAACACCAGUGGCGAAGGCGGCUCACUGGCCCGAUACUGACGCUGAGGUGCGAAAGCGUGGGGAGCAAACAGG
rnacentral:rRNA from 1 species